GAAACCCGUCCGCCGGAUGAUCAAGGGUUCCAGGGUCAAGCUAAUCUGCCCUGGGUGAGUCGGGACCUAAGGCGAGGCCGACAGGCGUAGUCGAUGGAUAACCAGUUGAUAUUCUGGUACCCGUAUGUCCGCGCCCAUGAUAAAGCACUGAUACUAACCACCGCGGAUAUGAUUGAUGUGUUCUUUGAGCACGUUGGUUGUUGAUGUCGUGGGGCCUGAUGUGUGGUUCAAGUGAUGGGGUGACACAGAGUAGUAGCCAUGCCGCUUAGUGGAUUGUUGGUGUAAGCGUGUGAGGUGGUGUGUAGGUAAAUCCGCACACCGUAUAGCCUGAGGCG
rnacentral:rRNA from 1 species